AAUGCCAGCCCACCGCCGAUCCACCAGCCUCAUUAUGUUGCACCUUUCAGCACAAGCUUGGCUCAUAAUGGUCAUCUGGGCACCUGAGUCAACAAAGGCUUUCACUGGAUGUCCAUUGACUUUACAGUUAAUAUAAAGCAUCACCACCUGGCCAAAGCUCUCAGGUGCCUCUUCCAUUGCUAUCGUCAUAUUUUCUUCUAUAUUUUGUUGCCUUAUAUCUUCUUCUAUCUUGGCCUGGGCCUCAAGAUCAAAAGGGUCAGCUGAAUACAGUCG
rnacentral:lncRNA from 1 species